rnacentral:rRNA from 1 species
AGGACGAACGCUGGCGGCGCGCUUAACACAUGCAAGUCGAGCGAGAACCAGUCCUUCGGGACUGGGGACAGCGGCGAACGGGUGAGUAACACGUGGGUAAUCUGCCCUCGAUUCUGGGAUAGCCCGGGGAAACCCGGAUUAAUACCGGAUAGCCUCUCGAGCUUACGAGCUCGUGAGAAAAGGUAGCUUCGGCCUCCGAUCGAGGAUGAGCCCGCGGCGGAUUAGCUUGUUGGUGGGGUAAUGGCCUACCAAGGCGACGAUCCGUAGCUGGUCUGAGAGGACGAUCAGCCACACUGGGACUGAGACACGGCCCAGACUCCGUACGGGAGGCAGCAGGUGGGAAUCUUGCGCAAUGGGCGAAAGCCUGACGCAGCGACGCCGCGGUGGGGAAGAA